rnacentral:snoRNA from 1 species
CAGUAGUCAGCUGUCCAGACAGUCUUUUCUGUGAUGGCUUUACACUGAGAGCAAUGCCUUGUCUUUACCUAGUUGCCUGCAUCACUGUUCUGGUGGCCAGUGGCACUGGUGCAAGGCAGAACGGUGCUGCUUUGAGAGCAUGCUGUGCAUGUGCAUUGGAAGCUUAGUGCUGCUGUGGGAGCAGACAGU